rnacentral:lncRNA from 1 species
CAUAAUCUUUAUCUUUUUAUUUAAAUACGUAAGCCUUUUCUUUUAUUUUAGAAAAGCAUUAUAAUAAUUUUCUAAUCUCAAAACUUAAUUCCUAUGAUUUAAUAAUAAUUUGUGAAUAAGAAAGCAUUAUUCAGAAUUUUAUGCUUUUAAUAAAGGUUAAGCAAUAAUUUAAAAACCUUAAUCAAAAGGCAUUAAAUAAAUACGUAGAUUGUAUUAUUUUUCCUAGGGUUUAAGAAUUUUAAUGCCUAAAGGAAAAUAAAACAAUCCUAAUAAAAUUGGUUUCACUAUUUUUGGACACUUCUACAAUUUCCAGUGAAUUAAAUGGUGUGGCAGUUAUUUAAAUCUAUUUUUAAAACUGAAAAUCCUGAACCUUAUUCGAAUAACCCCCUGGAAUUCUUUUUACACCCACCCCUAUUCUACCCCUCCU